rnacentral:sRNA from 1 species
UAUUCUGCCCAAGCGGGAAGGAUGAGAAGCUUCGACUAAGGUUCGAUUCGAGCGUUAGCGAGAAAGCGUUGCCGCAGG